rnacentral:rRNA from 1 species
CGGGACGGGGUGGAGUAAUGUCUGGGAAACUGCCUGAUGGAGGGGGAUAACUACUGGAAACGGUAGCUAAUACCGCAUAACGUCGCAAGACCAAGAGGGGGACCUUCGGGCCUCUUGCCAUCGGAUGUGCCCAGAUGGGAUUAGCUAGUAGGUGGGGUAACGGCUCACCUAGGCGACGAUCCCUAGCUGGUCUGAGAGGAUGACCAGCCACACUGGAACUGAGACACGGUCCAG